rnacentral:tRNA from 1 species
UAGGGAGACCUACCCAUUGAAGAAUCGAAAGCCGAAGGCGAAUAGAGAAUCAAAUGGUCUACUCUAGGUCGAUGACGUGAGAUUGUGAAGUCUUUCAAACUAAUAUUUGGUUCGCGGGCUAUUAGCUCAGGUGGUUAGAGCGCACCCCUGAUAAGGGUGAGGUCCCUGGUUCGAGUCCAGGAUGGCCCACCUGGGGGUUUAGCUCAGUUGGUAGAGCGCCUGCUUUGCAAGCAGGAUGUCAGCGGUUCGAGUCCGCUAACCUCCACAUUAGGUAUUAUCAGCAACUAGGAAAGACCUAGACUGCUGGUGAGAACCAGCCAGAACCUUGAAAACUGCAUAUAGAUAGAUAAGAGAGCCGAAAUCGAAAGAUAGAAGCAAGUGAAGGACCAGGU